ensembl:lncRNA
CACACACACACACGCACAUAGUUCACAGCUACACAUGCGCACACACACACACACACACACACAAACACACACACACACACACACACACAUAAACUCAGAGCCACACACACACACACACACACACACACACACACACACACACACACACAUAAACUCAGAGCCACACACACACACACACACACACAUAUAAACUCAGGUCUACUUACAAACACACACACACGCAUUCAAACUCAGAGCCACACACAGACACACAAACACACAGCUACAAACACACACACAAAUCCGCUCUGAGCAACACACACACACACACACACACAAAUAUGCUCAGAGCUACAAACAAAUACAUACCCACAUACACACACACAUAACUUGCCCCUACACACACACACACACACACACACAUAACUCCUACACACCUGCUCAAUGUUGCCCCAUUGCAACACAUUCUAUUGUCACGCCUGUGAUUGACAUUGAUUGUAACACACCCACUCACUUUCUCUCUCUCUCCCACUCUCUCUCUGUCUCCAACUGGGAAAGUCCCACACACACAAACACCUUUGCUACUUAAGGAGUCGCACUCGAACACAUUCACAGAGGAACACUGAACCGCAGGUGGGACUCACUCGCUCAACGACACAGCAACACGCACCCAAGGAAGAUCCUUUCACCCCAUUGAUGCCCAUCGCCAAGGCAACAUUCCCAGCACCAGCCUAAGUUACCCCCGCUGUCCACCAAACUGCUACCAUGACUAUGUACGGACUCCCGAUCCUGGCGGCUGUUUGCUGCAGUCUCCUUCUCCUCACGUUGUUCCCGGUCGGCUCAGAAUCAGCAAGCUGCUGCCUAAGAUACCGCCAACUCCGGUUGAAAUGUAAAGAUACCCACCACUAUUCCCUGCAGAACAUCAACGGGUCUUGCGACAUGCGAGCUGUGAUCUUCCACGUUGGACAGAAAUUUGUCUGUGCUGAUCCGAAUGGAAAGAGGACCAAACAUCUCAUGGCUUGUUUGGAGUGAGUACUGCCCAGCAUAUGUCCACACAACAGUGUCUGCAUGCCAUAGCAGUUUCUAUAUUCCAUGAUAGCAAAAUGUUAUGGAUAUGAGGAAAUUCAACAAUGAAAUAAAAUGGUUCAAUUUGACUGUAAAUGAAGACAUAAUUCGUACAUGAGAACACGCAUUUGCAAUCGUAUACAUUUUUUUCACGCCACACAGUCGGAAAAAAUGAUAACCCCAGAGUCCGGGUAGGAUUUUAGAUGUUCAGCAUCAGACACCCCUGGUUCCUUUGUGUCUUUAUACAUUGAUCGGACCUUUGAGGCUCAAAUCCUCAGAGGCUUAAUUGUAAUGUGCUGAGGUGACACACCUGCUCAGCUAGAGUAACAUAUUCUGUUUUUUCGCAGUAACAAGGGGAGAACCCGCAACAGAUGGCAUUCCUGACUUCACCAAGAAUCAUAAUUGUUGCAUGAUGAUUGUAUCUUUUUGAAUAGCUUUUGUUAUUGUUCUCAUAGGGCUCACUUGUUUUUUGAAGUGGAACUUUACACCAGUCACGACAUAUUGAGCAACAAAGAUAUGAAUGUGAAAUUAAGAAAGUCCGAUACAAUGGAAAGACUCAACAAAAAUGUCUCAAUGGGGAAACUUGUCUUUUCUGUGGAAUGAUCAAAUUGUAAAAGCCCAAAAAAAAAAAGUGUUUUAUGCGGAGUGGGUUGAAUUGAGAAAUUGAGAGAUUGAAUUAAUGACAUUUUAUUAUGUUAUCUACGGUUAUGUAUUUUCCACCUCAAACUAAACAAAUGUAGUUCCCAUGUUAACCCUUACUUUGUUCUGUGAACAAAAAAAGAAUGUUUGCUAAUAAAAUUAAAUAUUGAAAGAAAACAACAACUGAAUAUUAAUCUAAUUUUAAACUGUUUUUCAAUAUGCAAAAUAAUAUGAUACAUUCAUUACACAUUAUCUCAAAAUUACUUUAAUUAGUUGCAAUUCAUUGUCAUACAAACUAUUAAUUCCUAGGGCUUGGAUACGAAAAUCAAUCAAGUUAUUGAAAGUAUGAAAUAAAAUGAGAUUGCAAAGGGUCUUGAGGAACAUCGAUUUUGGAAUCCUAAGGCACACCAUGACAUAUUUCUGUUGUCCUCCCCUUUGAGUAUUUAUUACCAGGUCCUCUGCUUUGACCAGAUACACUGCCUUGCACACAAAACCACACAAAACCAGUCAAACCCUUUGGACACAUUAAGCUUUUUACUGGUCUGGUCUCUCUCCGGGGGAUCCCUACACCACGGUGAGCCGUAGAUGCUCUCCCAUUGGGUGCUCCUGGGUGUCCAGGGCCUGCUGGAGCUUCUCCCAGAACAGGUCUGGGUGUGCGUCUGCGCGGGACCAGCUCAGGUAGGUUUGUCUCUUCAGGAGCCUCCUCAUGCGGUAGUACGGAGACAGCUGCUGCAUGGGAAUGUCCUCCAGGAACACCAGGAUCAGCACGUCCUUCUGCUCGUCAAACAGACGGAAGCUGGGGAAUGGAAACGGGGAGAGUUGUUUUUUCAUGUAUGUGUGCUGUUAAACCUUCAGGGGAAGGUUGGUCGAUGCCCCCAUCCACCCCCAGUCAGACCAACACAAACCAUACCUUUCCAAAUGGUUGAAUUGGUCCUUGAGCAGAAAUACUUUCCUACUAUACUCAAGUAUUAUUUGUGAAUAUCUCUAAUUCUGUUGAUUUUCUCUGUUGAUUUUUGAAUGGUAACAAGCAAGUAGGGGGGGGGAAGAGUGGACAUGCAGAGGAUGCAUCAGAAGAGAAUGCAGCCACAGAACUCAAAAUUGACACAAUAUGUACACAAUAAAAGAGAAAAUGCCUGAAAGCAGUACAAAAGAGGACCCUAAGUACUUGUUUAUUGCUGCUUGAAACUCAGCUUUGCUAUAGUAAUGGGUGUCGCUCUCACUCACCUCUGUAGAGCAUGUCUACAUACAGCCGAUAAGAAUAACUUGACUUAUAACUUGAAAAUGCAUAAGAUCGCACUGCUUUUCUUUCUGCUUUCACUUUUUGAAUGUGACAAUCUCGGUUGUUGAACAAAUAUAUAUUCUAUACCUUAAGAAGAAUUCUUCUUCAUUUAUGUGAAAAGGUUUAUAUUAUUAUGUUUACUACGGUC